ACAGCAGCAGCCACGGGAAUACGUAGGUGGCAAGCGUUGUCCGGAAUUAUUGGGCGUAAAGGGCUCGCAGGCGGUUUCUUAAGUCUGAUGUGAAAGCCCCCGGCUCAACCGGGGAGGGUCAUUGGAAACUGGGAAACUUGAGUGCAGAAGAGGAGAGUGGAAUUCCACGUGUAGCGGUGAAAUGCGUAGAGAUGUGGAGGAACACCAGUGGCGAAGGCGACUCUCUGGUCUGUAACUGACGCUGAGGAGCGAAAGCGUGGGGAGCGAACAGGAUUAGAUACCCCCGUAGUCCCUGUCUCUUAUAA
rnacentral:rRNA from 1 species